rnacentral:lncRNA from 1 species
CUACUGCCAUUGAAACUCCGUGUCGAAUGAUUGUUGUGUGUGCUGCACCUUGCGUUCAUGUGUUCAUUCCGCCUGCUGAAGCAAACGUACCAGGCUUUGACAUACGCGUGACAACAUUGGCCAGCCUG